GACGUAGGGUGCAAGCGUUGUCCGGAUUUAUUGGGCGUAAAGAGUUCGUAGGCGGUUUUCUAAGUCUGGUGUUAAAUACCGGGGCUCAACCCCGGCAAGGCAUCGGAUACUGGAAGACUAGAGUGCGGUAGAGGUCAAGGGAAUUCCCGGUGUAGCGGUGAAAUGCGUAGAUAGCGGGAGGAACACCAGUGGCGAAAGCGCUUGGCUGGGCCGUAACUGACGCUGAGGAACGAAAGCCAGGGGAGCAAAAGGG
rnacentral:rRNA from 1 species